ACUGUCUGGCACUCCCUAGUGAGAUGAACCCGGUACCUCAGAUGGAAAUGCAGAAAUCACCCGUCUUCUGCGUCGCUCACGCUGGGAGCUGUAGACCGGAGCUGUUCCUAUUCGGCCAUCUUGGCUCCUCCCUCUGAAGAAAGCAAUGUAGAAGACAGAUUGGAAGACUAGAAGACAGUCCGGAGGCCCCAGAGGAAGCUAAUGGUCUGAAAUAACAGCUUAAGAACAAAGAACUGUGAAUAGUUGCUCACCUCUGAAAAAUUCUCGAAGGAAUAGGUGAUCAUUGGGUUGAAGACGAACAGAAGAUGAUAAACUUGGAAGAUAAUAAACUUAAAAGUUAUGCCUUUCUUAUAUGGUAAAAGGACUUUCUCCUGAAAUGCAAUAAACUUGAGAUGACUAGGGGAAUGAACACGCAAUGGAAGCUGGAGAUAGACAUCUGGGAGGCCUCUGUAGGGCUCUCAUUCUUCUUUCUGACACCAUGUGAAGAAGGACAUGUUGGCUUCCCCUUCUGCCAUGAUUAGUCCAACAGAAAAUUUUAAGUACCUGUUUAAAGCAAUUUACAAGA
rnacentral:lncRNA from 10 species